CCUACGGGUGGCAGCAGUGGGGAAUAUUGCACAAUGGGGGAAACCCUGAUGCAGCGACGCCGCGUGAGUGAAGAAGUAUUUCGGGAUGUAAAGCUCUAUCAGCAGGGAAGAAAAUGACGGUACCUGACUAAGAAGCCCCGGCUAACUACGUGCCAGCAGCCGCGGUAAUACGUAGGGGGCAAGCGUUAUCCGGAUUUACUGGGUGUAAAGGGAGCGUAGACGGUGAUGCAAGUCAGAAGUGAAAGCCCGGGGCUCAACUCCGGGACUGCUUUUGAAACUGUGUGACUGGAGUGCAGGAGAGGUAAGCGCAAUUCCUGGUGUAGCGGUGAACUGCGUCGAUAUCAGGCGGAACCCCAGUGGCGACGGCGGCUUACUGGACUGUACCUGACGUUGCGGCUCGAAAGCGUG
rnacentral:rRNA from 1 species